UCCGGUUUGUCACCGGCAGUCUCAUUAGAGUGCCCAACUGAAUGUAGCAACUAAUGACAAGGGUUGCGCUCGUUGCGGGACUUAACCCAACAUCUCACGACACGAGCUGACGACAGCCAUGCAGCACCUGUGUUACGGCUCCCUUUCGGGCACACCGAACUCUCAUCCGGCUUCCGUACAUGUCAAGGGUAGGUAAGGUUUUUCGCGUUGCAUCGAAUUAAUCCACAUAAUCCACCGCUUGUGCGGGUCCCCGUCAAUUCCUUUGAGUUUUAAUCUUGCGACCGUACUCCCCAGGCGGUCAACUUCACGCGUUAGCUGCGUUACCAAGAAAGUCACCUUUCCCGACAACUAGUUGACAUCGUUUAGGGCGUGGACUAC
rnacentral:misc_RNA from 1 species